GGAUAACCACCAAUGAUGUGACAAAAUUAAAGGAACAGAAAAUAAAGUGCUCAAUGAAAUCUGAUCUGAAAUUAACUAUGGUGUAUAGUGCAAUGAAUACCUUAUAGAACAACAUUUUCAUUCUUUAAAUAUCAAGAUUUUCUAGAAUGUUCAGUGGAUGAGAGAGAUAAAGGAGAAUAACCUUUCAGAAGGGUUGUGCAUGUAAUUAAUUUGAACAGAAUUACAAGCAUCUAUGAAUACACUGAAUUCCACUUAUGAUCAUUUUUAUGUGUUAUCCUUUUUUCAUUGUGACAAAACAGUGGUAAGUCAAAUUUUCUCGCUCUUAGAUUUUGAAUCACAGUUUCUGUGGGAAAUGCAAAGAAGCUAUUACGUCUUAUAAAAUUUGCAACUUAUGACAACAAAUAAUUUAAUACAAGAUUGUGUAUUUCACGUGACCAACCGCAAGAGAAUUUUAUCUAGGCAAAGGAAAUGUAUAUCUACUGAACUGACAAUUUUCAUAUGGCAUAUCUGGCAUUAGUUAAACAAUGUAAGAGACAGGGUCUGCAGCGAUCCCCUUGUGGCUGAUUGAAUGUAAAACAGAGCCACAUGAUAUGUGUUUUGCGAAGCAGAACUUUAUGUCAGGUUACAGCUAGACACAUCUCCUCCUCAAAGCCCAA